UACGUAGGGGGCAAGCGUUGUCCGGAAUCAUUGGGCGUAAAGAGCUCGUAGGCGGCUCAGUAAGUCGGGUGUGAAACCCCCAGGCUCAACCUGGGGACGCCACCCGAUACUGCUGUGGCUAGAGUCCAGUAGGGGAGUGUGGAAUUCCCGGUGUAGCGGUGAAAUGCGCAGAUAUCGGGAGGAACACCAGCGGCGAAGGCGGCACUCUGGGCUGGAACUGACGCUGAGGAGCGAAAGCGUGGGUAGCAAACAGG
rnacentral:rRNA from 1 species